CACGUAGGGGACGAGCGUUGUCCGGAUUCAUUGGGCGUAAAGCGCGCGUAGGCGGCCCGGUAAGUCCGUUGUGAAAGUCAAAGGCUCAACCUUUGAACGCCGAUGGAUACUGCCGGGCUAGAGUCCGGAAGAGGCGAGUGGAAUUCCUGGUGUAGCGGUGGAAUGCGCAGAUAUCAGGAGGAACACCAAUAGCGAAGGCAGCUCGCUGGGACGGUACUGACGCUGAGGCACGAAAGCGUGGGGAGCGAACAGG
rnacentral:rRNA from 1 species